UGGCAAAAAGAGUCCUGUCCCAGCACUGCCAGGGUAAGAUAAAGGCUGGUCAUCUGUGCAUGCGUUCAUCUGAGUGGAACGUGAGUCCCGGGGGCUGCUGCCACCGUGCCGGUCCCUCCUGUCAUCCGAGCCCGUGUCAGAGGACGCGGCGCCUGCAAGGCAAAAGGGUUGCCGCAGGUGUGGCCAGAUCCUCUAGGCAAGAGGUGUGGAUUCAGGUCCUACUAGUCUUACUCCUGAUGAAGCUGGGCAAAUCAGUUGGCUCUGGAGUAAUUAGUAGCCCCUUCCUCACUGACCAUUGCAAGGAAAUACCAGUGAACUUGAGUUUCUCCAAUGAAGGUGAUCACAGUGAUGAAUGACUUGGCUUCUGCACAGCAAAAGACAUGAUCAUCAGAGCGAACAGACAUCCUACAGAAUGGGAGAGCAUUUGUGCAAUCUAUCCAUCUGACAAAAGUCUAAAAUCCAAAGUUUACAAAGAACUUAAACAAAUUUACAAGAAAAAAACA
rnacentral:lncRNA from 1 species